GGCGGGUUAGCGUAAUGGUUAACGCGUCAGUUUCCGGUAUGAUUACUCAAAGCUGAAGAUUCCGAGUUCGAGUCUCGGGCCUGUCG